rnacentral:lncRNA from 1 species
UGACCUCUCCUGCUUCUCCUUCAUGAGGGCAUUUUCCUUGUCCACAGAAAUGGGUCAGAUGUCAUUCAAUGCCUGCCUGACCGGGCCUCACAGGAGACCUGCUGGAUGGAGGAGAAGUUUGGAAGAUUCCAAAUGUGUACUCCACCUGUCAUCUGCCAAGAAUGCAGGUAUUUCUUGGAAUAAAAAGGAGACCCAUUGCUGGACCAUACAUCUCUUACUGGCUACUACUUCAGCUACAAUCAACUCACAGGGUAAAGUUAUGAAAUGCAAGUCCAUGGAUGAUAACUAAAUGGGAG